rnacentral:rRNA from 1 species
GGAGGGUGCAAGCGUUAAUCGGAAUUACUGGGCGUAAAGCGCGCGUAGGCGGUUAUAUAAGUCGGAUGUGAAAGCCCUGGGCUCAACCUGGGAACUGCAUUCGAUACUGUAUAACUAGAGUUUGGUAGAGGGAAGUGGAAUUCCACAUGUAGCGGUGAAAUGCGUAGAUAUGUGGAGGAACACCAGUGGCGAAGGCGACUUCCUGGACCAAAACUGACGCUGAGGUGCGAAAGCGUGGGUAGCAAACAGGGAUUAGAUACCCUGGUAGUCCACGCCGUAAACGAUGUCAACUAGCCCGUUGGGGGAAUUUGUCCCUUAGUGGCGCAGCUAACGCGAUAAGUUGACCGCCUGGGGGAGUACGGUCGCAAGAUUA